rnacentral:misc_RNA from 1 species
GGUUCAUCUGCAUAUUCUAUGAAAUCCACUAAGCAAGGGAUUCAAAAAGGAUAGCCCCAUUGCAAUAUAAGCAGAUUCAUGCACUCAUAUUUGAUAUGGAACAUAUAGCUGAGAGAACCCAUUCCUAAUCUCUAGAUUAUUUCUAUUUGAAUUUUUUUAAUUUAUUGUUUUCGUAGAGGAAGGUAAAGGGAAGCCAACUGAAGAGUGAAAGAGAUAGAAAGAAGAUAUAAGAAUAACAGAAUGCAAAUUACCCUUUUU